GCAAGUUGAACGAACUUUUUCGGAAGUGAGUGGCGGACGGGUGAGUAACGCGUGAGUAGCUGCCCACAGGCGGGGGACAACCAUUGGAAACGAUGGCUAAUACCCCAUAUGCCGAGAGGUGAAAGAUUUAUCACCUGUGGAUGUGCUCGCGUCUGAUUAGCUAGAUGGUGAGGUAAAGGCUUACCAUGGCGACGAUCAGUAGCUGGUCUGAGAGGAUGAUC
rnacentral:rRNA from 1 species